CCUACGGGAGGCAGCAGUGAGGAAUAUUGGUCAAUGGGCGAGAGCCUGAACCAGCCAAGUCGCGUGAAGGAUGAAGGCUCUAUGGUUUGUAAACUUCUUUUAUAUGGGAAUAAAGAGAGGAACGUGUUCCUUUUUGUAUGUACCAUAUGAAUAAGCAUCGGCUAACUCCGGGCCAGCAGCCGCGGUAAUACGGAGGAUGCGAGCGUUAUCCGGAUUUAUUGGGUGUAAAGGGUGCGUAGGUGGUUAAUUAAGUCAGCGGUGAAAGUUUGUGGCUCAACCAUGGAAUUGCCGUUGAAACUGGUUGACUUGAGUAUAGGUGAGGUAGGCGGAAUGCGUGGUGUAGCGGUGAAAUGCAUAGAUAUCACGCAGAACUCCGAUGGCGAAGGCAGCUUACUAAACUAUAACUGACGCUGAAGCACGAAAGCGUGGGGAGCAAACAGGAUUAGAUACCCGAGUAGUC
rnacentral:rRNA from 1 species